AUUGAACGCUGGCGGCAGGCCUAACACAUGCAAGUCGAGCGGAUGAGGGGAGCUUGCUCCUGGAUUCAGCGGCGGACGGGUGAGUAAUGCCUAGGAAUCUGCCUGGUAGUGGGGGAUAACGUCCGGAAACGGGCGCUAAUACCGUAUACGUCCUGAGGGAGAAAGUGGGGGAUCUUCGGACCUCACGCUAUCAGAUGAGCCUAGGUCGGAUUAGCUAGUUGGUGGGGUAAAGGCCUACCAAGGCGACGAUCCGUAACUGGUCUGAGAGGAUGAUCAGUCACACUGGAACUGAGACACGGUCCAGACUCCUACGGGAGGCAGCAGUGGGGAAUAUUGGACAAUGGGCGAAAGCCUGAUCCAGCCAUGCCGCGUGUGUGAAGAAGGUCUUCGGAUUGUAAAGCACUUUAAGUUGGGAGGAAGGGCAGUAAGUUAAUACCUUGCUGUUUUGACGUUACCAACAGAAUAAGCACCGGCUAACUUCGUG
rnacentral:rRNA from 1 species